rnacentral:rRNA from 1 species
GACCAGACUCCUACGGGAGGCAGCAGUGGGGAAUAUUGGGCAAUGGGCGCAAGCCUGACCCAGCAACGCCGCGUGAAGGAAGAAGGCUUUCGGGUUGUAAACUUCUUUUCUCAGGGACGAAGAAAGUGACGGUACCUGAGGAAUAAGCCACGGCUAACUACGUGCCAGCAGCCGCGGUAAUACGUAGGUGGCAAGCGUUAUCCGGAUUUACUGGGUGUAAAGGGAGCGUAGGCGGGGAUGCAAGUUGGGUGUUAAAACUACCGGCUCAACUGGUAGUCGCACUCAAAACUGCAGCUCUUGAGUGAAGUAGAGGCAGGCGGAAUUCCUAGUGUAGCGGUGAAAUGCGUAGAUAUUAGGAGGAACACCAGUGGCGAAGGCGGUCAACUGGACAGCAACUGACGCUGAGGCGCGAAAGCGUGGGGAGCAAACAGGAUUAGAUACCCCUGUA